UUUGAAAAAGUUUGAUAAACAAAUUUCAUAAUCAUAAGAUUAAAAAAAAACGCUUCAGGCCAUGUAAGGCCUAGUAUUCUGCAUAUAUUAAAAUACUAAAAAUACGCUCAUUAUUCUAAAGGUGCAUUUGAAAAAACAGUUGUUUCCUAAAUAUUUUGAUUAUAAUUUUUAAAUGGUUGUCAAGUGAGAUAACUCUAUUUUCUUCCGCCAUAUUUGCUAACUCAAGCCACAAAUUUCUCUUCAUCAUUUGAUUCACUGUUAUUCAGCUUUAAAACUGAUACUAAAACUUGAUUGGUUUAUGUCUAUGAAGUGACAAGUGUAAAAAAUUACGGACUUCUGAUGAGUCAUCAAAUUAAAUCAUGCCUAAAACGAAAAGGACUGCACCAGUUCAUUCACAAGCUCAGGACUGUUUCAGUUUCUCCAGGAAAAAUAAAUGAUAUACCAGAACCUGGAUCUAGCACUACAAAUAAAAUAUGUUUAUAUGGCCAUGCCCUUCAUAUUUUUAUUGCUAAAGACUCAUCAUAUACGACUGCGACAGAGAUAUAAUAUAUUCUUCCUAUGGACUUCAUUCAUCUGAAACCUUGUCAAAAUUAAAAAGUUUAUUUUCCAAAACAUUAACAAAGUCUAAAAAAACAUUUAGACAUCUUGAUGAUAUAACAAAAAAAUGCUCUAAAAUAUUUUAUCGACUAUCCUCUCAUACUGUCCCUAAUCCUGAUUCCAACAUUCAAACACAAAUUGUAGAAACCAUAAUUACACCAGUAAAUGCAUCGAUUCCCCCUGCUUCAAACAUAAGAGAGGAACUUACACCCAGAAAAAAAGCCUUAAAAAGGCGUUUUUCUUUGCUCUCAGAGUCUAGGAGUGAGGAAAGAAGCAGACACACAGAAAACAAUGAAGCAACUCAAAUUACAAGUUAAUUUUCAUCCUAAAUUAAUUAAAAACUUUAAGCAGUCAGCAGAGGAAAAACAAAACUAUUAUAAAACUUAAAAAGGAAUUUAAAAAACUUAAAACUGAAUCUGGCAAAGAAGAAAUAGCUAAAUUGAAAAAUAAAUUAAUAGAAACAAAAAAUAAAUACAAUCAUUUAAUAAUUAAAAUUAAAUCAAAUUAUAAAAAAGAAUUGUCUGAGAGGGACACAAUCCAUAAGGCCCUUCAGUGUGACAAACUGGUCCUUGAUGAUAAAGUUUUACAAAAAAAAGACAAAAAAACUUAUAAUGUAAUAGCCAGAUUGAUUAUUUAUGAUUGUAUUUCUAACAAUGUCCUCUCCAAAAGAAUCCCCUCUGUAAUUGAUAGUUUGUCACAGAAUGGGGAUCCUUAUUGAUUAUUUCCCUGACAAAAGUUCAAUUGAAAAUUUUGUAAGAGAACUUGUUGUUAUAUCAGACCUACAAGCCGCUGAAGUUGUCAUGGCUAUACCAGGUCUAACUCUUGGGUUUGAUGCCACAACCCAAGAGGGUGUACAUGUCAACUCAGUGCAUCUCACCACCAAGUCGUUUAUUUGUCUACAACUCAUUCUAUUGCUAACACCUCAACUUACCCAUAAUUAACGCCAUUGCCUGCCAUGUUCAAGCUGUGCUUCGCCUGGCCAAGACGACCCUUUGUGUUUCAUCCUAUUGUACUAACAGUAGACCAUCAUUGAAUUCAAGUAUUUAGCGUUUAUUGGCUACAACUCAUGCUAUGGUUAACACCUGAACUUACUAAGAAUCACCUGUAUUAAUGUAUAGUAUGUCACCAUCAACAGUAUUAUAUGAAUGUUGGACUAACACUCUAGAUCUUCAUUGCAUUCGACUGCUGCCUACAUGUGUCAUGGCUAAUACCUCAUCUUACCAUAAUGAAUCAACUGUAUCAUCUUCAACUACUGCCUACAACUCAUGUCAUAGCUAAUACCUAAUCUUACCAUACGGAAUCACCUGUAUCAUCUAUGUCAUCUUCAGUAUCAUACAUCAGAAACUUUAUAUCCAGAUGAAGCAAUUGAUUAAAACACCCUGAUCUUAUUGUUGAGGAUGUGUUACAACGGAUAACUGCCUGACUCACUGCCUGGUUGUAUGAUCUGUUCGAAACCUGUCCAGUUCCAUUCCUGCUGUCCUUCAAGAGUUUUAGGCUAGGACGAAAUAUUACUACUUCAUGACUACACACAGUGGUAUCUAACUGUGAGGUCUUUAUUACAACAGAUCGCUGCCUCGUCGUUUGGUUUUGAAAUGCCAUCAUGAUGAUCACCUUUUUUAAUCCUGCACAGUUCCAUCCCCUGCUGUCCUACAGGGUUUUGUACUAAGAUGUAAUAUUACUACUUAGAAUAUCAUGUCUCCCCCCAGAGACAAUCUACUGUUGAGGACUUAUUACAACGGAUCACUACCUUCAUUCUGUAUGGGCUUCAAAGUGUCGUCUUAAGGGUCACCUGUUCAACCCCUGCCCACGUCUAUCCCCAUCUUAACAUACGGUACUCUAGAAUUCAAACAUUUUUUGAAACAGUUGUUUGGCAUCCUUAUUUUGAACUUCUCUACGAUCUGCUUUGUGCUUGUGAUCUCAUAAAAGUUCUUGUUUUAAAGAAAAACAUUAUAUAAGUGCACAAUAAAGAAAUGGCUGUAAGACGUACUCAAAUAGUAAAUUUAGAUCAAAUCAUGACUGAGCAGCAGAAAAAAAUGAGAAGUGGACUUAAACAAGAUUGUCAGCAGCAAUCAAUACAAAAGAAAACUGCCUGGCCUGGUUAGCCAAACGUCGAUUGAUUAGAAAUACACACGACUGUAUCAUAUGUCAUCAGCCAGCAACAUUGGUCGCGUAUGCUCAAGGAAUCGACGGCUUCCGUUGGUCAUGCCGAGGAUGUGCUUUUCGCAAAUCAGUUCGAGAUAAUUCGUUCUUCAGUGGUAGUCACAUAGCACUUGAACAGUUGUUACAGUUGAUUAACUGUUGGUGUUAUGACAUGCCCCAGUUUAACAUUAUCCAUGAAACAAAUAUUUCGUGCAAAACUAUUAUAGACGUGCAAUUUUCGCAGAGAGGAAUGUGAAAACUAUAUAGAAAGACACGGACUUUUGGAAAUCGGUGGCAUCGACAAAAAAUGGAGAUCCAAUUGUUGUUGAGAUAGAGGUCAGUGGAGAGAAGGCCACUGGGUGUUUGGAGGUGUUGAAAGACUUUCCAAAAAAUGUUUUUUAGUCGAAGUGCCUGAUCGCACUGCAGCAACAUUAACACAAGCUAUAACACAACACAUUUUGCCUGGUACGCACAUAGUAUCUAAUGGAUGGGCUGUUUAUGCUAAUAUAGCAAACAUAAAUAAUGGGGUCUACAGUCAUUCUGUAGUAAUACAUCAAGACCACAAUGACAGCGAUACACACACUCCAAACAUCGAGACAACUUUGUAGACCCCAACAACAGCGAUACACACACUCCAUACAUGGAGACUAUGUGGAUGAGAGCUAAACGAAACUUAAAACACCAAUUCGGAACAAGCAACGGACUCUUCCAUUCAUAUUUCAAUGAAUUUAUGUUCAGAACUGCCUUAGGGCAUCAACAUAUUUUUUGUGAACUAUUGGUGGGAAUUACUGAAUCAUAUCCUAUGCAUCUAUGCAUAAUAGUUACUGGAUGUAAAAAUCGGCCCUGGCAAUUCUUGACAAUCCAGCCCAAAAAAUUGUAGGCCUAUAUCAUAUGACGAGAUUCCAAUUCUAGGUCUACCGGUACCUGUCUUCAAAAUUAUUAGGUUAAGUUUGAUAAUUUAUCAAUAACUGUGCGCGUGCAAAUAUUAGACUCCUUAUAAUAAAUAUAGGUCUUAUGUUGCUUUUUAAUCGCUCAAUGUGUAGGCCCUAAAAGGAUUAAGCCUACUAGAAGAACUAUCUACGGAUGUAGGCUAUUACAUUAUUUCGAAGAAAGGGUUAGAUUAAAUUAGUAUUACACUGUAGAGUCAGAUUUUUUAAACACAACUCUCAGAGAGUUCUUUUAUAAGAGCAUACCUAUGAUAAAACAUUUUAACAAUUGGUAGUUCCCGAUUUCUCCUCAGUCACGGAUUUCUUCUCAGUCAUGUGGGUGUGUUGUUUACAUUAACGACCUCAUUGAUUUCAUUGUAAUUUAAACAUGAAAAUAGUCUCGAUCUAUACAUUUUUAAGUAGGUACCGGUAAUAAAAAGUAUGUUACAAUAAUUCACUAAUUGUUAUGAUUAUUUAGUAGGACUACUAUAUCUAGGCUAGCACUAAAUCUAGAUCUACACCUUAUCAUAGGAAGAUAUUGCCAUGUAUAAGACUACAGUCACGUGACUUUUUAUAAAGUAGGUCAGAGAUUCGGAACUACCUCAUUUGAUACAUAGUUACAUAGCAUCCAUUUGCUACUUCUUGUGGCCCCACCGGCCCAUUUUGGUACCGGGCAUUUGCCUGAAUGCCCAUAUAGCCAGUCCGCCCCUGCAUCUACAGCACCAAGGUUCGUAGUGAUCCUUAAAAAAAUGAAAAGUCUCAUAAAAUCCUCCAAAAAAUUGCCCUCACCUAAAAUCUAGGCCUACUUGUAGAAGUGGACAGUCCGUAGAUCUAGCUAGUGACAGUGUCUAUAUUUAGAUAUAAGUCUAUAUCUAGUGAAGAUAAUUCGCACCUUACUUGAAAACUCAGUGAAUUUUAGUCAAUUUAAAUGUUCUCGAUACCGGUAUAUGUAAUGUCAUAAUUUACGCUAAAUCACUAGAAAGUUCAUGUAUGUUAGUGACUUAGAUCGAUCUAGUCUAGAUCUACGGUAAAUUGUGCUUGAAAAAAAAUGCUGAUAGGUCUUAUCCCCCCCCCCCUUUUUUUUUUCAAUCCAAAAGCCAUCAUUCAGUACGCGAAUGUCAACUUAACAUACAAAUAGGCCUGUACAUUAUACAGGCUCUGUUGAUGAAGAGGAUUUUUAAUAAAAUAGUAAAACAUUACCGUUACCUCAAAUGCACAUCAUGACCAUAUUUAAGAUACACACAGAGAAACUUUUGUAUAUUUUUAACAUCAGAGAAUAUUAUGAAGGCAUCUCUUAUUUAAAAAUAUGAAAUAGCGACCUAUUUGGGAUAUUUUAAACAAAUCUUUGGAAAAAAAAAAGAUGACAUUGUUCUCUGUUCUGGCUGGGAUGUUGGCUAGAAGUGUAUUAUUUCCACAAUCAAGUAGGCUACCAAUAAUUUAUUUGAGAAAAUGCAUAGUUGUUUUUUGUAUGUUGGCCUAUUACAAUCUUAGUAACAUUUUCACGACAUUAAUUUGUUGUCUAGGCUUUAUCUGCAACUUGGCUAGAUUUUUUUGGGCUGAGGGGGUAGGGGUGUCAUUUUAAAGGCUGCCAACUACAAAUAAACAUUUCUUUUACAAAUCUAACUAUUUAUGUACUGUUGUGCUGAUAGAAAACAUGGUCUUUUUCUUAUUUCGCAGCCUCGGACUCCACAAGUGUUUGUCAACCCUGCUAUAACUGUUUGUAAAAGCAUGUGUGUGUGAAUGUGGGCUUGCUUUAGGUUUCUUCUGAAGCAUGAACUUGAAAAGUUGUUGCAGAAUUAGGUCAAAGGUGUACAAAUGGUAGAUUGGGACACAAUUGGCGAAGUAAAAUACUCAAAAUGCAAUUUUUUAUGUAAUACAUGUAAGAAAAGUGAUUUUUAUAAUGCAAUAGCUUAAUAAAAUAUAUUGAUUUGAUAAAAGUAAAUGAAUAAUU